rnacentral:rRNA from 1 species
UCAGAAUAAAAGUAGUUAAGUUCUUCAUAACUCAAAGAAUUUGGCGGUUAAUAAAAAUUUCAGAGGGGCCUGUGUAUUAAUUGAUAAACCACGAUAGUUUACACCUAAAUUUUACUUGUAUACCUCUAUUUAAGAAUGUUUUUAAUGAAAAAAUUUUCUUUCAGGUUUGUUCUUUAAUGUUAGGUCAAGGUGCAGUUUUAAUUAGGUUUACAUGGGUUACUACAAUUUUUAUUUUUUAUAAAUUUAAUUUUAUUUAAAUUUUAUUAUAUAGGAUUUGAUAGUAAUUAAUAUUAAUUUAUAUAUUUGAAUUUU